rnacentral:rRNA from 1 species
UACGUAGGGGGCAAGCGUUGUCCGGAAUCAUUGGGCGUAAAGAGCGCGUAGGCGGCCCAGUCAGUCCGCUCUGAAAGUCAGGGGCUCAACCCCUGAAUGCGGGUGGAUACUGCUGGGCUAGAGUCCGGAAGAGGCGAGUGGAAUUCCUGGUGUAGCGGUGAAAUGCGCAGAUACCAGGAGGAACACCGAUGGCGAAGGCAGCUCGCUGGGACGGUACUGACGCUGAGGCGCGAAAGCGUGGGGAGCAAACAGG